AAACCAACAGGGAUUGCCUUAGUAACGGCGAGUGAAGCGGCAAAAGCUCAAAUUUGAAAUCUAACACUUUCAGUGUUCGAGUUGUAAUUUGAAGAAAGUUUCUCUGAGUAGUCCUUUAUCUAUGUUCCUUGGAACAGGACGUCAUAGAGGGUGAGAACCCCGUAUGAUUUUGGAUACUAUUCUUUGUGAGAUUCUUUCGAAGAGUCGAGUUGUUUGGGAAUGCAGCUCUAAGUGGGUGGUAAAUUCCAUCUAAAGCUAAAUAUUGGCGAGAGACCGAUAGCGAACAAGUACAGUGAUGGAAAGAUGAAAAGAACUCUGAAGAGAGAGUGAAAAAGUACGUGAAAUUGCUGAAAGGGAAGGGCUUUAGGUUAGACUUGGUGUUUAAUGAUUAUCUUCCCUUCUGGGUUGUGCACUCGUUUUUCACUGGGCCAAUAUCAGUUUUGGAGACAAAGUACCUUUUGGAAUGUGGCUUUCUUCGGGAAGUGUUAUAGCCUUAAGACGAUUUGUUUCUGGGACUGAGGACUGCGCUUUGUGCUAGGAUAUUGGCGUAAUAACCUUAAGCCGC
rnacentral:rRNA from 1 species